UACGGAGGAUGCAAGCGCUAUCCGGAUUUAUUGGGUUUAAAGGGUGCGCAGGUUGUUUGAUAAGUCAGUGGUGAAAGUCUGUCGCUUAACGGUAGGAUUGCCAUUGAUACUGUUGGACUUGAAUAUGGAUGAGGUAGGCGGAAUGUGUAGUGUAGCGGUGAAAUGCAUAGAUAUUACACAGAACACCGAUUGCGAAGGCAGCUUACUAAUCCAUCAUUGACGCUGAGGCACGAAAGCGUGGGGAUCAAACA
rnacentral:rRNA from 1 species